rnacentral:rRNA from 1 species
CAGCGACGCACUUGGAGGAAUGUAUAGCUAAGCUAAUUAUAUAUAAUUAUAUAUAAUUUCAACUACGUUUGAGUAAAAUUCUAGCUAGUAUAUGAUUAUGACAUUUACUAGCUAUAGGUCUUGACCAAAUCUCGUGCCAGCAGUCGCGGUAAGACGUGGAAGACAAGUGUUAUUCAUCUUUAAUAGGUUUAAAGGGUACCUAGACGGUAUAUCUAGCAAAAAUUGUACGGGUAUAACUAGAAUUUAAUAUGUAGGAAGGUAGAAUUUAUGGUGUAGAGAUGAAAUACACUGAUACCAUAAGGACUAUUAAAGCGAAAAUAACCUUAAAAAAGUAUAUAGUAUUACUUAUUUUGAAUAUUUAUUUUGUAUAUUUACUCUUAAAGGAGGAGAAGGUAUACAAAAGAAUAUAAAAAAUAAAACUAUAACUAACUAUGUAUAAACUGACGUUGAGGGACGAAGGCCUGGGGAGCGAUAAGGAUUAGAUACCCUAAUAGUCCAGGCAGAAAAUUAUGAAUGUCAUAAGUUAGAUAUUUAAUUUAUAAAUGAAAGUGCAAGCAUUCCACCUUAAGAGUAAUGCGGCAAGGCAGGAACUGAAAUCAUUAGACCGUGUCUGAAACCAGUAGUGAAGUAUGUUAUUUAAUUCGAUGAUCCGCGAAAAACCUUACCACAAUUUGAAUAUAUUUACAAGCGCUGCACGGCUGUCUUCAGUUAAUAUCGUGAGAGCUAGGUUAACUCCGUUUAAUUAAUGUAAACCCUUACUUUAUUUUUUUUUUUUAUAAAGUAAUAAGUCGCUACUAGUGACUAUUCUAAGAGGGAUUAAGACAAGUCAUCAUGGCCUUAAUAUUGUGGGCUAUAA